ensembl:snoRNA
UCCCUCUAUUUCCCUUUCCUAUUGGAUAGGAAACAUUGGUCUUUGUGGUCGUACCAGGAAGAAGUGUGAUACUGAAGCUGGCCUCACGGUGUUGUAGUCUGAUAUAUAGUAUUGGGCCAGUUUCAACCGAUG